rnacentral:rRNA from 1 species
UGAAAGCCGCAGCGGUAAUACGGCGGGUGCCCGCGUGAAUCGGCAUUACUGGGCGUAAAGCGCGCGUAGGUGGUCAAGUCAGUCAGAUGUGAAAGCCCGGGGCUCAACCUCGGAACUGCAUUCGAUACUCCCGUGCUAGAGUAAUGGAGAGGUAAGUGGAAUUCCUGGUGUAGCAGUGAAAUGCGUGGAUAUCAGGAGGAACAUCAAUGGCGAAGGCAACUUACUGGACAUUUACUGACGCUCAGACACGAAGGCUAGGGUCGCGAAAGGGAUUAGAUA